UAAUUGAAUAAUUGAACGAUUUACCUUUCCUAUUUGAUAUUGAUUAGCUCACCAAUCCAUAUGUAACGGAACUCUAUUCGCUUUUCUGAUUGAUAUAUAAAAUAAUAGAAUUAGGAAAUCCUCUAUUUACUAUUCACUGAAUAAUAACUUUUUUGUUGACAAAAGAAUAAAGAUCAUUUCUAUUCCAAGGUGGGGAGUUUUAUUUUCCCCAUCGACCUA
rnacentral:sRNA from 6 species